AGGCUGCUCGUCAUUGAACGUGUGGCUGACCUCCAUCAAUUUAUGUUCGUAUUUCAUUCUUAAAUUCGCUAGCAAACCAUUAGUUCUCCCAUCCAGAAAUACCUCUGUACCUUAUUGCAGUGAGGGUGGCCUGUCUUAGGUGGCUCAGGUGCAGGCAUGAUAGCUCUUAAGUGUCCUGGAAUAUUAGAGUUCCAGCAAUGCUGAAGAAAUCCUACACACA
rnacentral:lncRNA from 1 species